rnacentral:lncRNA from 1 species
AAAGGGUUACCUCAUUCGAAAAUAGGCAUUAGACAUAACAAUAGGAGAAAGAAAUUAGAGCAUUUCAUUGGCAUAAGAAGCAUUUAGGCAUGUAUCAAAUGGCACAUGAAGCAUUAGGUGCAUAUCAAAGGCGUAAGAGUGUUUGAGAGCAUAACAAUGACAUACGAAACACUUCAAAGUAUAACAAGUGAACCGAAUAAUAAACACAAGCUUGUAUGUCAUUUUUGAUGUA